rnacentral:rRNA from 1 species
CCAGAGAAUUUAGCAGAGAUGCUUUAGUGCCAUCGGGAACUCUGAGACAGGUGCUGCAUGGCUGUCGUCAGCUCGUGUUGUGAAAUGUUGGGUUAAGUCCCGNAACGAGCGCAACCCUUUAUCCUUUGUUGCCAGCACGUAAUGGUGGGAACUCAAAGGAGACUGCCGGUGAUAAACCGGAGGAAGGUGGGGAUGACGUCAAGUCAUCAUGGCCCUUACGAGUAGGGCUACACACGUGCUACAAUGGCGCAUACAAAGAGAAGCGACCUCGCGAGAGCAAGCGGACCUCAUAAAGUGCGUCGUAGUCCGGAUUGGAGUCUGCAACUCGACUCCAUGAAGUCGGAAUCGCUAGUAAUCGUAAAUCAGAAUGUUACGGUGAAUACGUUCCCGGGCCUUGUACACACCGCCCGUCACACCAUGGGAGUGGGUUGCAAAAGAAGUAGAUAGCUUAACCUUCGGGAGGGCGUUUACCACUUUGUGAUUCAUGACUGGGGUGAAGUCGUAACAAGGUAAGCGUAGUGCU